AUACGGAGGAUCCGAGCGUUAUCCGGAUUUAUUGGGUUUAAAGGGUGCGCAGGCGGGAGAUUAAGUCGGCGGUGAAAUUUUGCAGCUCAACUGUAAAAGUGCCUUCGAAACUGGUUUCCUUGAGUGUAGAUGAAGUAGGCGGAAUUUGUGGUGUAGCGGUGAAAUGCAUAGAUAUCACGAGGAAAUCCGAUUGCGCAGGCAGCUUACUAAACUACGACUGACGCUCAGGCACGAAGGCGUGGGAUCAAACAGGAUUAGAUACCCUGGUAGUCCACGCAGUAAACGAUGAUUACUAGCUGUUUGCGAUACAAUGUAAGCGGCUGAGCGAAAGCGUUAAGUAAUCCACCUGGGGAGUACGUUCGCAAGAAUGAAACUCAAAUGAAUUGACGGGG
rnacentral:rRNA from 1 species